UCAACUGAAAUGAUGAGCUUAUAGUUCAAAUGAUAUAACUUUGAUUAUACAUCCUAAUGUCUUUCGCUCCUAUCUGAUUUUUUAA